rnacentral:rRNA from 1 species
CCUACGGGCGGCAGCAGUGGGGAAUAUUGGGCAAUGGGCGCAAGCCUGACCCAGCAACGCCGCGUGAAGGAAGAAGGCUUUCGGGUUGUAAACUUCUUUUCUCAGGGACGAAGCAAGUGACGGUACCUGAGGAAUAAGCCACGGCUAACUACGUGACAGCAGCCGCGGCAAUACGUAGGUGGCAAGCGUUAUCCGGAUUUACUGGGUGUAAAGGGCGUGUAGGCGGGACUGCAAGUCAGAUGUGAAAACCACGGGCUCAACCUGGGGCCUGCAUUUGAAACUGUAGUUCGUGAGUACUGGAGAGGCAGACGGAAGUCCUGGUGUAGCGGUGAAAUGCGUAGAUAUUAGGAGGAACACCAGUGGCGAAGGCGGUCGGCUGGACAGCAACUGACGCUGAGGCGCGAAAGCGUGGGGAGCAAACAGGAUUAGAUACCCGGGUAGUC